UAUUGGUCGGCAGAGUCCACGGAAUUCUAGACAUUUACUAGAGGAGAUGCGUCCUCCAGGCCACACUGUCGGAGGUGUGGUUGCUCAGUGAGCAAUUAGCCAAGACAAGAAUCAACAAGUGGAGGCUGUUCAAGCCGUCAUGAAUAUGCAUGAACAGCUGAUUUAUAAGUGAACUCUACGCCCCAUCAUAGCUUGAAUAGCCAUCAACUAUAACUAUGCACAUAAAUUGCAAUGAACCUUAGCUCGAAAGUGGAAGAACAGCAAAGCAACAGGUUAAUGGCAGGCGGCAGCACUGGCCAACAAACGAGUUGGCGAGAAGGCCAUCCACACACAUGUCCAAUAUUUACGCAAUUACAUUACCAACAGAGCAAAAAACGAUCGAUAGUAACGAAGAUUAAAGUAUUGGAAUUAU